GAGCCUUCCACUCGAGACGACUCUGACCACCAUCAGAUUCCUGAUCAUUGACCACCCGCCGUGGAGACACCCAUCCUUCUCUUAGACAUAUAUCACAUGCAUUAUCUCGCCCUGCACCUUUCCUUAAUCACCAAUGACCCUGAUCUCAUGAAUUCAAGCCGCAGGUUCUGCAUCCAACCCCUAACCGCUNACCCUGAUCUCUUGAAUUCAAGCUGCAGGUUUUGCAUCCAACCCCUAACCGCUCUUGCACAAAUCUCUGGUUCUCUCAAUAAACCACCCGGUUCUCCCCCACUUAGGGUUCGAACCAUCACUAUCUGACACAUCAACAACCUCACGAACUAUUUUCACCAGCAAUAACGC
rnacentral:lncRNA from 1 species